rnacentral:rRNA from 1 species
CUACGGGCCGCUCCAGUGAGGAAUAUUGCACAAUGGAGGAAACUCUGAUGCAGCAACGCCGCGUAGAGGAUGACGCAUUUCGGUGUGUAAACUCCUUUUAUAUGUCAAGAAAAUGACGGUAGCAUAUGAAUAAGCACCGGCUAACUCCGUGCCAGCAGCCGCGGUAAUACGGAGGGUGCAAGCGUUACUCGGAAUCACUGGGCGUAAAGGACGCGUAGGCGGGAUAUCAAGUCAGGUGUGAAAUCCUACAGCUUAACUGUAGAACUGCACUUGAAACUGGUAACCUAGAGUAUGGGAGGGGGGGAUGGAAUUAGUGGUGUAGGGGUAAAAUCCGUAGAUAUCACUAGGAAUACCUAAAGCGAAGGCGAUCUCCUGGAACAUAACUGACGCUAAGGCGUGAAAGCGUGGGGAGCAAACAGGAUUAGAUACCCCGGUAGUC